UACGUAGGGGGCUAGCGUUGUCCGGAAUCAUUGGGCGUAAAGAGCGUGUAGGCGGUUCGGUAAGUCCGCUGUGAAAGUCCAGGGCUCAACCCUGGAAUGCCGGUGGAUACUGUCGGGCUAGAGUCCGGAAGAGGCGAGUGGAAUUCCUGGUGUAGCGGUGAAAUGCGCAGAUAUCAGGAGGAACACCAAUUGCGAAGGCAGCUCGCUGGGACGUUACUGACGCUGAGACGCGAAAGCGUGGGGAGCAAACAGG
rnacentral:rRNA from 1 species